GCUUCACUUAUAUCUUUUGAGCUAGAUAACUUUGCUCUAGUGCUUCACUUAGAUCUAUUAGAGCAUGGCGGUGUCAUAUUUUAAUGAAAUAAGAACUCUCGAUCUUCACGUAUAUCUUUUUGAGAGUGCUCUCUCUAAGUAACUUGGUAAUUGGCGUAUGCUAUGAAAGAGUCCAAAAGAUGAUAGGCAUCCAAAGAGGAUAUAAUAAAAACUUCCGUAUUCAAGUCAUUUGAUUAGUAAGAGAAGUUUGAUUCCUCACAAUUAGUUUUGAAAUAUGGAUAUGGUAAUAUUAGAGUUAUGUUAGUAGGGUGUUGUGAAUCUAGAAAUACUUGUGUUGAAGUUAGUGAUUCCAAUAGCAUGCACGUAUGGUGAACCGCUAUGUUAGGAAGUCAGAGCAUAAUUGAUUUAUUGAUUUUCAUCCUUUGUGUGGCUGUCAGGAUCGCGCGAUGGUUAAACACCUACCAACCCUUCCCCUAGGAGUAUGCGUUUAGCACUUUGUCUUGAUUACUAAUAAAACUUUCGCAAUAAGUAUAUGAGUUCUUCAGGACUAAUGUGAGUCCAUGGUAUAGAUGCACUUU
rnacentral:lncRNA from 1 species